AGCGAACGCUGGCGGCAGGCUUAAUACAUGCAAGUCGAGCGCCCGUAGCAAUACGGGAGCGGCAGACGGGUGAGUAACGCGUGGGAACGUACCCUUUGGUUCGGAACAACACAGGGAAACUUGUGCUAAUACCGGAUAAGCCCUUACGGGGAAAGAUUUAUCGCCGAAGGAUCGGCCCGCGUCUGAUUAGCUAGUUGGUGAGGUAACGGCUCACCAAGGCGACGAUCAGUAGCUGGUCUGAGAGGAUGAUCAGCCACACUGGGACUGAGACACGGCCCAGACUCCUACGGGAGGCAGCAGUAGGGAAUAUUGGACAAUGGGGGCAACCCUGAUCCAGCCAUGCCGCGUGAGUGAUGAAGGCCUUAGGGUUGUAAAGCUCUUUUGUGCGGGAAGAUAAUGACGGUACCGCAAGAAUAAGCCCCGGCUAACUUCGUGCCAGCCGCCGCAGUAAAAC
rnacentral:rRNA from 1 species